GCUCCCUAAACAGACACACCUUCUCUCUCUAGACUCUACACCGUCUCUCUCGUUCUCUCUAAACAAGCGAUUCCCCAAAUUAAAUCACUGUAAUAUAAGAGGUUUAAGGAGAUUAGAAUGAUGUAAGACGGUCAUAUCCGUUAACGAUUCUCCCAAAUCCUUUAGCUUUUAUGUAAGGAGAUCAGACUUCAACUCGUUUAAGGUAGCUAAGGAAUCUAAAACAGCUGGUAAAACUAUUGGGAUCGACAUCAACAAAAUCAUAUUUGAUAGGUAUAGCUCUUGUUAGUUAACUUUAUCCUUUCUUUUGAGCAGAUGUAAUAUAUUCUGAAUUCAUAAUUGUUGAAAAUCAAAGCUUAUUGAUUCUUUUA